rnacentral:misc_RNA from 1 species
UACGGAGGGGGCUAGCGUUGUUCGGAAUUACUGGGCGUAAAGCGCGCGUAGGCGGUUUUUCAAGUCAGGGGUGAAAGCCCGGAGCUCAACUCCGGAAUUGCCCUUGAAACUGGAUGACUUGAGUCUUGGAGAGGUCAGUGGAAUUCCGAGUGUAGAGGUGAAAUUCGUAGAUAUUCGGAAGAACACCAGUGGCGAAGGCGACUGACUGGACAAGUACUGACGCUGAGGUGCGAAAGCGUGGAGAGCUAACAGG